rnacentral:rRNA from 1 species
AGUGAACGCUGGCGGCGUGCUUAACACAUGCAAGUCGAACGAGAACGGAAUAUAGCUUGCUAUAUUUGUCAGCUAAGUGGCGCACGGGUGAGUAAUGUAUAGAUAACCUGCCCUUAAGAAAGGAAUAACAGUUGGAAACGACUGCUAAUGCCCUAUAUGCCUUUAAUACAUAAGUAUGCAAGGGAAACGCUUUAGUGCUUAAGGAUGGGUCUGUAUGGUAUCAGCUUGUUGGUGAGGUAAUGGCUCACCAAGGCUAUGACGCCUAACUGGUUUGAGAGGAUGAUCAGUCACACUGGAACUGAGACACGGUCCAGACUCCUACGGGUGGCAGCAGUGGGGAAUAUUGCACAAUGGACGAAGGUCUGAUGCAGCAACGCCGCGUGGAGGAUGACACAUUUCGGUGCGUAAACUCCUUUUAUAUAGGAAGAUAAUGACGGUACUAUAUGAAUAGGCACCGGCUAACUCCGUGCCAGCCGCCGCAGUAA